CAGAGGGGCUCGCUCAAGUGGCCAUGCUCCCCUUGCCCCUACCCCCAAGUACCCGCAGGUGGAUGGAACCCUCUUCCCCAGGUCCUACACUGGGCUCUUCAGAGGCAGAACCUUACUGAACUCCCCAGCAAGCCUGUGUGGCAAAGAGAAGGGUGCCGCAUUUACAGAGGAGGAUGCUGAGGCUCAGACAGAGGUGCCUCUGCCUGCAGCUACCCAAGACUGUCUGACUCCAGAGCAUGAGCGGCUCCUACCAUGCAGCUGCCAUUCUCCUGGCUCACGCAGCACGGGGCUGGAGUGGAGGUGCUGGGUGAGUGCCUGUGGAAGGACAGGGUUGGCUAAGGGCCCUCACCGAAGCCUCUGGAUGUUGGAAGACACGCCUGAGAGCCGGUAGAUCCCAUCCACCACCCCGUGGGCCUCAAUGAACUCGGAGCAGCAGCGCAGCACCUGGGGCACUGGGAGAAAGCAAGGAUUCCCCGCUGCCGCAGCCGCUGCCGAGAAGGGCGGGAGCGCAUGAAGGUGCGGAGCAGGCCGGCCAGCUUCCCACGAGGCCGUGGCACAGCUGUGGGGGCAAGGGGCAAAGGGCAAAGGCCCGGACCUGGCCGCUCUGUGAAGAGUUCCACACACUCACUGGGGAAGAACCCGACCUGAGGAAGGUCAGGGUCAGUAGCUGGGCCACCCCAGUUGGCAGGUACCCCAGCCCCACCUGUCCGCGCCCAGCUGGACUCACCUUGGAAGCCUCGCUUGCCCCGCCACCAGCUCCGAUCCUCUGUGGGUGGCAUGUCGAUCACCGAGACAAUGUCUCCCACCUGGGAGUGGGCGGGUGGGAAGAGAAGGGUCAGAAGGAGCAGGGGGUGUGGGGAGCCCAGCUGGAAUCUGCUUCCCCACAGCCUCACCUCAAAGGACAGCUCAUCUGGCGCCUGGGCUGUAUACCGUUUGAUCACAUGGGCGGCCGCCACUGCAGGGAUAUUGAGUGACGCCUCCUCACUGAGGAGCAGUCGCCGGCCAUGAUUGUCCAGCUGAAAUAGAGGUGGAAUGUGGCAAGGACAGGUCAGAAGACGGUGUUAGUACAGGCAUACCAAGCUCCUCCGCACUGGGUGAGGCCACUGCCUGCCCCCGUCAAGAGCCCCUGUCACUCAGAGCUAUUGGUCAAACACCUAGAUUCCUGUUUGUAGGGAUGCAGCCCUGGCACCCUCUGCGGGUGGGGAAACCUCUAAGACAAACCCCUUUAUUUCCCCUCACAUGUCCCAGGACUCUCCCACCUGAAGGCUUCCCCAUCCACCUCUGCACCUUCAUCCUCCGCAGCAGAUGCCACACGGUUGCCAUCUAAAAUCUCUCUGUGCUGGGCGUGGUGGCACACGCCUGUAAUCCUAGCACUUUGGGAGGGUGAGCCUGGAGAAUUGCUUGACCCCAGGAGUUCAAGACCAGCCUGGUCAACAUAGCAAAACUCUGUCUCUACAAAACAUAUUUUUUUAAUUAGCCAGAGGCCAGGCACAGUGGCUCAUGCCUAUAAUCCCAACACUUUAGGAGGCUGAGGUGGGCGGAUCACCUGAGAUCAGGAGUUUGAGACCAGUCUGACCAACAUGGAGAAACCCAGUCUCUACUAAAAAUAUAAAAUUAGCUGGGCGUGGUGGCACAUGCCUGUAAUCCCAGCUACUCAGGAGGCGGAGGCAAAAGAAUCACUUGAACCUGGGAGGCAGGGGUUGCGGUGAGGCAGGGGUUGCGGUGGGCGAGAUCGUGCCACUGCACUCCAGCCUGGGCAACAGGAGUGAAACUCUAUCUCAAAAAAAGAAAAAAAACCCCUCUGGUUUAAGCCACUCAUAGCCAGGUGUUCUGCGAGUUACAGCCCAACCCAUUUCUAACUGAUAUACAUUUAAACCCUUGUAUCCUUAAAGCCGAACACCUGCUAACACACACACAUGCUCACACACAUUCUCUCACAGGCAUGCGCCCACACAGACACUAAAAUAUCAACGCCUCCUCCACUCUGGCUCCUUUCUUUUCUAUGCCCACACACACACCGAGGCUGCUUCUCGCCCCUCAGACACCCCCUCACCCACUCUGAACCUCCAAGCCCCCUGCCCAGGCCCACCUCCAUCCAGGUGAGCACAGGCCCGCAGUUGAGGUUACUGUCCACCAGUCCUGACAGUGUCUCCAGGUACUGCAGCAGCAGUGGCACCAGCAUCUGGGGGCAGGUUGUCAGGGUGGGCCUCUGUGAGUGGACGUGAGAGAGCCCACUGCCCUCCCACACUGCCCUAGCUCGUCUCUGGGCUGAAGUUCAUCCCGAACACAUGGGUGCUGCUCAGCUGUUAGGUACUGAGAUAUGGGCAUAUGAAUGAAUAAACAGGCUGGGCCAAGCUCUUGAGUACCCUGGUUGGUAUGACCAUGGUGACCCUCCCAUGGGACCCCCUGGAACUCCCCAUGAUCCUAAAACUUAGCAAAGCUAAAUGUAGCAGAAGCCUACUACGUUUCUAAGGCUUCUCCAUUCAUUCAGAUUGGUUGGGACUUGGGCCAUACCAGUAUUUAAAUAUUUCUCUAUCCCGCUGCCUUGAUGAUUUCACACUGUGGAUGAGGACACACUCAUGAGGCAGGGGCUGAGACAACAAGCAGGUUACCUGGGCAGCCCUGGCACCCUCGGGGGGCGGGGGAAGCUCCGGAAGGCAGGAGAACCUCCGGUCAAAUAUGCAUCGGUGGAGGUGGGCAUCCAGGGAACGAAAGUCAUCGUAACUCCGGAGAACCGGCCAGGAACGGCCCUGUGGGAGCAGAGGGACAGAAGGGAGCAGGGGCCCCAUGACACCGAGCUGAGGACUACAGUGGCCAUUCUCUCAGGCUAGAUGAGAGGCGGGAUGGCCUCACCUGACAGGUCACCUGCACCCCGAACACCAGCUCAUUCUCUCCAGAGAGGCUGGGCCCUUCACGGUCUGGAGACAGCAGGAGCUGCAGAGGGAAAGCAAGGCCCAGGUGGACUUUUGUCCCAGUCCUGACCUCCUGGGGAUGGCACUAUCUAGGGACGGGUUUGUGUCUCCCUUCUGGACCUCCCCGAGGACAGGGCCUGGUGAUGUGCUGGUCCCUGACAUAGAGCAGAUACCUAACAAAAGUUGUUGUUGAAUGAAUAAAAGAACAAAUGGAUGAAUG
rnacentral:lncRNA from 1 species